AGUCGAACGGCAGCACGGAGCUUGCUCUGGUGGCGAGUGGCGAACGGGUGAGUAAUAUAUCGGAACGUACCCUAGAGUGGGGGAUAACGUAGCGAAAGUUACGCUAAUACCGCAUACGAUCUAAGGAUGAAAGUGGGGGAUCGCAAGACCUCAUGCUCGUGGAGCGGCCGAUAUCUGAUUAGCUAGUUGGUAGGGUAAAAGCCUACCAAGGCAUCGAUCAGUAGCUGGUCUGAGAGGACGACCAGCCACACUGGAACUGAGACACGGUCCAGACUCCUACGGGAGGCAGCAGUGGGGAAUUUUGGACAAUGGGCGAAAGCCUGAUCCAGCAAUGCCGCGUGAGUGAAGAAGGCCUUCGGGUUGUAAAGCUCUUUUGUCAGGGAAGAAACGGUGAGAGCUAAUAUCUUUUGCUAAUGACGGUACCUGAAGAAUAAGCACCGGCUAACUACGUGCCAGCAGCCGCGGUAAUACGUAGGGUGCAAGCGUUAAUCGGAAUUACUGGGCGUAAAGCGUGCGCAGGCGGUUUUGUAAGUCUGAUGUGAAAUCCCCGGGCUCAACCUGGGAAUUGCAUUGGAGACUGCAAGGCUAGAAUCUGGCAGAGGGGGGUAGAAUUCCACGUGUAGCAGU
rnacentral:rRNA from 2 species